rnacentral:lncRNA from 1 species
CUCUUCCCCCUCCCCCACAGGAUCCCAGUGAAGCACCCACCCCCAAGAGACCCCGCGGCCGGCCGAAGGGCAGCAAGAACAAGGCCAGCUCCAAAGGCAGGAAAUCCUCAGUCGCACCAGGGAUGAAACCUCGAGGCAGACCCAAAAAACCGCAGCAGGACGAGGAGGAGGUGAACAUUUCCCAGGAGUCAUCCGAGGAGGAGCAGUGACCCCUCCCGAACCGCCGCUACCUCAUCAUCACCCCCCAGGACUGAGGGAGAUGGACGGGGCACAACCCCCCCCGGCAGCACCCGGCUUCCUCCUCCUCCUCCUCCCACCCCGCUCCUUCCUCACCCCCCAACAACAGCAGCACUGGAACACAGGGCUCAGCCCCGCAGCCCUAUGGGGGGGGACCCCCAACCCACUCCCCCCAGCACAGUGGGGCAGCCCCACUCCCCCUCGCUGCAUCCCUGCAGUGCCCGGUUCGGGGUGACCCCUUUCCCCAUCGGUUCUGGUUAAUUUUUAUUUUAUUAUUUUAUAUAUAUAUA